UUGAACGCUGGCGGCAUGCUUUACACAUGCAAGUCGAACGGUAACAGGUUAAGCUGACGAGUGGCGAACGGGUGAGUAAUGCAUCGGAACGUGCCCGAUCGUGGGGGAUAACGCAGCGAAAGCUGCGCUAAUACCGCAUACGAUCUGAGGAUGAAAGCGGGGGACCGUAAGGCCUCGCGCGAUCGGAGCGGCCGAUGUCAGAUUAGGUAGUUGGUGGGGUAAAGGCUCACCAAGCCGACGAUCUGUAGCUGGUCUGAGAGGACGACCAGCCACACUGGGACUGAGACACGGCCCAGACUCCGACGGGAGGCAGCAGUGGGGAAUUUUGGACAAUGGGCGAAAGCCUGAUCCAGCCAUUCCGCGUGCAGGAUGAAGGCCUUCGGGUUGUAAACUGCUUUUGGACGGAACGAAAAGCCACUUUCUAAUACAAGGUGGUCAUGACGGUACCGUCAGAAUAAGCACCGGCUAACUACGU
rnacentral:rRNA from 1 species